UACGGGGGGAGCAAGCGUUGUUCGGAUUUACUGGGCGUAAAGGGCGCGUAGGCGGCCACCGCAAGUCGACUGUGAAAUCUCCGGGCUUAACCCGGAAAGGUCAGCCGAUACUGCGGGGCUAGAGUGCAGAAGGGGCAACUGGAAUUCUCGGUGUAGCGGUGAAAUGCGUAGAUAUCGAGAGGAACACCUGCGGUGAAGGCGGGUUGCUGGGCUGACACUGACGCUGAGGCGCGAAAGCUAGGGGAGCGAACGGG
rnacentral:rRNA from 1 species